AACGAAAGACACUAAACCAAGCUCUCUUCUCAAUCUUAAUGAAAAACACUAGAUGAGAAAAAGGGUCCUAUGUCCAGAAAAAGAGAAUUUUUAAAAAUUAUUGAAACUUUAAAAAAUAGGGUCUGAUUGGUAAAUAAAAGCUGUAUAAGUUUUCUAACUGUUAGUUGGAGUUGUUAGCUUUAUUGAAAUAGUACAAAACUGUUAAAAGAAGCUGUACAAAAAAGUUAUAAAAAAA
rnacentral:sRNA from 1 species